rnacentral:rRNA from 1 species
UACGUAGGCAGCGAGCGUUGUUCGGAGUUACUGGGCGUAAAGCGUGCGUAGGCGGUGUCUUAAGUUUGUUGUGAAAUCCCUGGGCUCAACCCAGGAACUGCGUCCGAUACUGGAUGGCUUGAAUCCGGGAGAGGGAUGCAGAAUUCCAGGUGUAGCGGUGAAAUGCGUAGAUAUCUGGAGGAAUACCGGUGGCGAAGGCGGCAUCCUGGACCGGCAUUGACGCUGAUGAGCGAAAGCUAGGGGAGCAAACGGGG